CUCGACGCUGCGGCCGGGCCGGGGUUGGGCCUGCUGGACCUCUUGUGCCCUGUAAUGGAAGAAAAGUUUGAAAAUGUCAGAGCACGCUGCUUCCCAGCCCGCCGGCGUUUGUUUGGCACCGCCGUUUUCUCCCCAUAAGAAUAUCUCAUUAUAAGUACUGCCAACGCUCAUAGCACCUAUCAAUACUCUUCCAGUAAUAUGACUUGAGACAGACACCUCUUACAAAGUCAGGUGGAAUCCUAGAUCCUGAUUUUUAAAGGGUAAAAAAAAAAAAAAAAAAGAAAAAAGAAAGAAAGAAAAGAAAAGAAUAGGCUGUGGGAGAAUUCUGAGAACAUCAGAUGAAAAUGGAAACUUAUUCCUCUCCUAAAAGUUUGAACUACUGCUAUGAUCUACAGAGAGAUCUGAGAACUCGUACCAGCAGUCCUUUGAGAUCAAAUCCUGCAUUGAUUUCAAAAUGCAACAGCGAGAGCACUUGAACUUCAGUCCUAUUCCUUCUGCAGUCACAGUGAUCAUCAAAACCUGAAACUCCAAAGGCCAUGGAAACUUUUCUUCUUGCUGCACAAUCUCUCUGGCUUGUCUUGGGAUGAGAUAAGGGUUCACAACUGAAACAGGGAUUUUAAUAGUUGCCAUGGGAUGCUGCUGAUGCCAGUAGUUUUCAUUAGUCAAAGAACAACAAGACGAAUUCAAAGGAGAAAAGGUUAUUAAAUUUAAAGAUAACAUCUCUGGCUCAGUAAUUUCCUGAGCCAAAGGUUUAUUACAGAGAAGCAUCAUAUAAUCUCUUUGUUCUGAAUCUCCUCCACAGAUUCUGGCACUAGACAAAUUUAAAUUUAAGUAUUUUGUGCUAGAUUGGAGAUUUGCAGGUACAACUGUUCUUAUGAGAUACUUUUCAAUUCACUAUUACUAUUGCAGCUAUGUAAUUGUGUGGAUAUCUUGCAGACUUGUAAUACAGUUCAGCAGGUGAAAAAGAGACUGCUAGUGAAGAGUCAUCUUUGUACAAACUGCACAAAAGUACUCUGUGGAGCACCAACAGUCCACACACCAUAACUAGGAUUUUCAGCACAAGUAAUGAAAGGAUUUAGCAUAUAUGAAGAUUGCUCCAAAAAUAAUGCCCUUAUUUUAUGAUGUUGGUGCUAUGGCAGUAGAAGUUGAACCUUCCCACCAGUAUUCCAUUCCAUUUUGUUGCUAUGUGACAGAUGGCAGCAGAGGGGCACUCUGACAAAAUGGCACCUGACAUAGAGGGAUGAAGCAAACUUGUGUUGAAAAAGAGUGUUUUGUAGCUGAGAACUGGCUCUACCAAACAGUGGUAUUGUGCUCUUUGUAACUGUUGUAGUUUCCAUGGAAAUAGAGAGGAGACAUUACUUGCAGAGCCUACAUGUAUCAUCUAAUGGUAUGGGUCACAUUUCACCAAAGACUUGUAGUCCAGUAGAACAGGAAUUAAUUCCUGUUCUCAUACUACAUUUCUUCUCAGUUUCUUCUUCUAAGAAACAGAAACAUUUCAUUCUACCAUAUCUAUAGUUGAAGAAUGCCACAUAUCGGGCAGAUCAGGCUACACAUCACAUGUUCUUCUCAAAAUCUGAAGCAUGAGAGCAGCUUCAUGGUUUAUUUCAGAGAAAAACAGAAACAUCCUUUGUUUUCAGUCCUACAUAUCCCUCUUAGGCCUCAUUUGCCGUACUGCCUUUGAAGGGAAAGAAAGAGUCUAUUCACUCCUAACAGACCACCAUGCUAAGUCUUUAAAAAUGGUGCUCAGGAUGCUGCAGUUGAAAGUGAAGAAGCAUUGUUUGAGACAGCGUACUUGACAAUAUUCUCAGAAAUCCUUGAUUCUAUCCCACUAUUUCACACCACUGAGAGCAUGAAGACAGUACAUCAUGGAAGUGCAAAUCCUGCACAAGGAAGAUUGUAUUGGUUCAUUAUUUAAAUCUGCAUUUUCCUACAGACUCAACAAGAGCAUGUACUAAGCAAAACCAGUGCAGCCUGCAGGAGCUGAGCAGGACUUAAAAUGAGCUGCCUCUCUCACCAGCCAGAAAUUGGUGUAUUUCAAGCAGAGACAUCCCUCACCCUGCCCCUAAGAAGCAGUGAGGCUGCAAGCACUACAGCAAUACAAAUUCCUAGUUACAAAUUCUGUGAGCACAGAUCAGUUACCCCAAGAGAGAUUUGGCUCUGGUCUCCUUUCUUGGCUCCUCAUCCUGAGGGACCCAGCUACCAUGGUUUCAAAAGCAGGGUUCAGGGCUCAGCUGGCAUCCCUGCUGCUGGGUAGAAAGACAUUGUGCUGUGUAUCACUUAUUUUUUGUACUUUUUUUGUUCUGUUUUGUUUCUGUUUGCUCUAAUUUCAACCCCUUUUCUAUUGAGCUGUCUUUAUCCCCACCCAUGAGUUUUACUUUUGUUUUUGCCUAAUUCUCUCCCUGUCCCCCCGAGUCCCUGCAUGGUAUGGAGCUGCCUGCCAGGUUAAACCACAGCAGAAAUGUACCAGACAGAAAGGUAAACAAAGCUUGCAGAACCAGUGGAAAAUAAAAGAUGAUGAAUUGUGAUAACUACUUUAAAUUCAACACCUCCUAAUGUAGAAUAAGGCAUAUGAUAUUUAAUGCUAUGCACUUCAGUUUUUACUGUUUUAGAAUAGCAAUAGAAAAAAAAGCUGAACACAGGAGAACAUCUUUGAGGCACUGGGCACUGAUAUACUACAGAACAGAGCUAAGGUUGAAAAAUAAAUCCGACCCUUAAUAAAACAGGAAUGUUUUCCAAGCUUUCUUUUCAGCUAUAUUCUUCAUAUUUUUUUCUGAAAUUUAAUCUUAAGUGGUGGUUUAAAAAUGGACAUUUGCAGUGAAAAUAUAAUUUAAUAGUGAAGUACCAGUAACAGUAGUUCACCAGUGACUAUGAAGACAGCUGUGAAAACUUAAUAAAGCCGUAACCCCUCAUAUAUAUUGCUAUUUUAGCACCAUGUGGACUCAAAUGUUUAAUUAAAAUAAUUGCCUAUAUGGUUCUGGAUCGUCUUUUUAUUAUGAAAUGGAGACUUCAUGUGGCCUUCUACCUACUUCUUACUUUAAUUAAGCUGAGCUGUAAAUCUUUUUUUUUUUUUUUUUUUUUUUUUUUCCCCACUGUUAGUUCAAUUUAAGCUCUUCUCUUUCCUCCCUUCCAGAGUAAUUAUCUCCAGUCAGGGCAUCCAUUUUUCAACAGUCUAUUCCUAACUAUGCAGAGAGAGUCCCAUAUAUGUGACUUAGAUUGUUGUACAAGCUAAAUCCUGGAAGAAAGUAUGUUUUCCAAUCUAGUCCUCCCCACAGACCAAAUAGAAUAUGUAUAGAAUAUGUAUUGACUCCUACUUCAAAUGAAAACUGUUCUGUGCUGUGACUACCGUUUACAACAUCAUAUCUUCAAGAUAUAAUGACAAACAAUCCCUUAUGUUGAUACUUAUUUGAUUAUUGCUAUUAAAAUUCAGUGUAUUUGAAUUUGAAUUCAUGUCAGUUCUACUCAUGUCUUGCCCAAGGAGGCUGUGGAUGCCCCAUCCCUGGAGGCAUUCAAGGCCAGGCUGGAUG
ensembl:lncRNA